rnacentral:rRNA from 1 species
AGAGUUUGAUCAUGGCUCAGAUUGAACGCUGGCGGCAGGCCUAACACAUGCAAGUCGAGCGGUAGCACAGAGAGCUUGCUCUCGGGUGACGAGCGGCGGACGGGUGAGUAAUGUCUGGGAAACUGCCUGAUGGAGGGGGAUAACUACUGGAAACGGUAGCUAAUACCGCAUAAUGUCGUAAGACCAAAGUGGGGGACCUUCGGGCCUCAUGCCAUCAGAUGUGCCCAGAUGGGAUUAGCUAGUAGGUGGGGUAACGGCUCACCUAGGCGACGAUCCCUAGCUGGUCUGAGAGGAUGACCAGCCACACUGGAACUGAGACACGGUCCAGACUCCUACGGGAGGCAGCAGUGGGGAAUAUUGCACAAUGGGCGCAAGCCUGAUGCAGCCAUGCCGCGUGUGUGAAGAAGGCCUUCGGGUUGUAAAGCACUUUCAGCGGGGAGGAAGGCGUUAAGGUUAAUAACCUUGGCGAUUGACGUUACCCGCAGAAGAAGCACCGGCUAACUCCGUGCCAGCAGCCGCGGUAAUACGGAGGGUGCAAGCGUUAAUCGGAAUUACUGGGCGUAAAGCGCACGCAGGCGGUCUGUCAAGUCGGAUGUGAAAUCCCCGGGCUCAACCUGGAACUGCAUUCGAAACUGGCAGGCUAGAGUCUUGUAGAGGGGGGUAGAAUUUCCAGGUGUAGCGGUGAAAUGCGUU